AGCGUCCCUCCCUUCUCCCCCUCCCCUGCUCUUCUCUGCCCUGCUGCGGCGGAAAGAAAAACCCCCGCCCGCCAGAUUGGGAUUGGUAGGUGCCCAGCCACGAACUCCUCUGCUCCUCCCUCCAUUGCCGAACCGGAGACGAUUUCCCUUCUCUCCGCGGAGGCGGAGAUAGAUAGAUACUAGAUAGAUAGACGAGAUAAAUGCCCCCGACCCCGAACCGAAUCGCAGCCGUAUCCAAUCCCAGCCCAAUCCACUCGAAUCCGAGAGCGGCUGCCAUCCUCCCCUCCGCUUAAUAAAUCCCAAUCGCAUCGCCAUCAAAUCCAAUCCAAUCCAAUUAAUCCGCCGCCGCUUCCCCUUCUGUUCCAAGAAACAAGAUCGACACGCCGCCGACGCACCACACGAAUCGACAAGCAAGCAGCCUCGCCGCCGGCGCACGCACGAUGAGGUUCCAGGGCCCCAGGUGUUCGUUCCGGGAGGACGCCACCGACAUGGCUGGCGCCAUCUUCAUGUCGAACAGCGAGACGAGGGACCACUGCUUCAACACCGGCGUCUUCGGGCUACCGCCAGAGUACGGGCCCUUUGUGGCCAAUGUCAAGCAGGGGAUGCCCCUGUUCCUAUUUGACUACACAUUUCGUAAGCUUUACGGCGUCUUUGAGGCCGCCUCCGAUGGCGGCAUGGAUAUUAGCAGGACCGCGUUCCGGUCCACCGGCCGCACGUACCCCGCACAGGUAAUCCGCUCUUGCCAUAUCCCUCUUGAUUAUUGAUUAUUGAUCUUGGGCUUGGGAAACACGAGUAGCUAGUGAUUUAACCAUGUCUGAAGUGUGAAAUGCAAUGACCCUUCUUUGCCUCUUGAUUGUUUAUCCAGCAUAAUAUGCUACUGUUAAACCCUUGGUCUUAGAGAACCCCAACAAGUAGUGAUUGGAUGAUCUAUGAACUGCAAUUGCCAGUUCUAUGUUUCUUGACCGUUAAUGAUCAUAAUAUGGUUCUGUUAUGUUACACCAUUGGGUUCAGAGAACUCGGGAAAGUAUUAGUUGAAUGAUCUGUAGAUUGCAAUUGUCCUUUUCUUUGGUUCACAUAAAGAUUCUAAAGGCAUUUACAACUGUAUUUAAGAGUUGGUGGGAUUAUGUAUUCUGAAGUGUUGUUGAAAAUCAUUAUUCAUCUACUACUAGCCACUUAUAAUGGGGAACAUGGCAUAAAAAGGUUAUGGCAAACUUUCUAAGAUUUAGUUGCGGGGAGCUGUUGCUUUCCUUCUAUUGCUGACUGCCACUUACUGAUUAACGAUAAUAACUCUUCAUUUGGUUUUGAGCUGUUGAUUCCCCUAGGUUUGCUUCAAUAUUGUUUGGAAGUGCAGACCGCUCACUGAAGAUGAGUUUUUUCCUGCCAUAGAAGAGAACUACUAUAUCUCAAAAAAGUUCUACUUCGACCUUUCCUACCAGCAGGUCGUCCAGCUAUAUGGCUUAUUUGACAAAAAGAGGGUAGAGCACCCUAUUUGCAAUUAUUCAGCAAGUGCUAAUCUGGAAAAGGAGCACUCAAGCAUAAGGAGACCAGACAAAAGGAGCUUGACUCCAAAUAGUCCUCCUUUUUCUGCUGAUCGUUCCCACACUUUGAUGCCCUCCAGUACCCCAAAGGUCUCAACUGUCGAAACAAACUGCUCUGCUUCUACAAGCAUGCAUCUAAUUGCACCACCUACCUUUGAGACACAGCCAAGUGUGUCAAUGCCCUUGGUAACCAAAGCUUUUGGAGCCCAGACCGCUCCCAUCUACAGCAACCAAAUAAAACUACCUUAUCAUAGUCAAGAACAUCUCCGAGAUGUUUCAGCAAUAGAUGGCACUUCAACUCAGGUGUCUGCUCCUUACUCUCAGACAGCUAGAUACCACCAAGAUCAGUUUGUGGCAAAUCAGUCAUACCCAUCAUCUGAUGAUUAUCCGCACAAUAGCUUGUCUUCUGGGUGCAUGACACAAGGCCCAACUGAUGGAGUUAGGUUGUCAGUAAAGCAGUCAUAUGGAGGCAGUAGCUUGUCAUGUUCUCGGUCUUUAACUCGUGUUCCAACUGGUGAUGAAAGAAGCUAUUUGACCUCAACUCCGUAUUUCCCAUCAUAUCAUGAUUCAUCUCUGGCAAGUCCGCAACACAAUGCUCACUGGAAGGAUGACUACGACAUUAACUGCGACCAAUGCAGAGAGAUGUAUGCAUCUGAGCAACUGCAUUUAAACAGAGGAAAAUCUGUUACACCUCCAGAAUCAACUCAGCUAGGUAUUCCGGCUUACCCUGAAGCUCCUGAAGUAUCAGCAAUCAUUCAACAUAAAGAAAGCUUUACUGGCUACAUACCAAUCAAUGAUCGCCCUGAGGACUUUGAAAAAGAAAAGCAGAGACGUGAUUUUAAUCGUGAUGGUUCAGCCUCAUCAGGUUCUGGACAUGAAACAUUAGCCUACAUUUCAGAUCGACCAUAUACUGAUCAUGAUGUUGGAGCUGAAAGCAACAUGGCAGUUCCUAGUCAGCGUCCACAAAAGAACGUGUUUUCUCGCUUAUCAGUGAAGCCACAACUACCGCCCCAAGAAGUUACGGGUCCUUCAAUGAACCAACUGCUCUACUUACUUUCUCAGAGAACAAAACAGUGGAGCAACAAGAGUACAAGUCCUAGAGAAGAUGGUUGUAAACAGCUGGUCCGUGAACAGGACAUGGACAUGCCCUGUCCUCCUGCAGAGCUAAACCUGCCAAGUGGACUAGAAGGAGAAGAAUGCGCAGAUCCUCCCUUCUUGAACUUCAAGAGGCGCAGCAAAGCGGCUGGGCUGGAUACAGAUGUAGAAAAGGAGGUUAGCAACAAAAAGAAGAGAAGAAAGCUUGUGCGCCCUUCUUUUGGAGAAAAUGACACCACUGGUACUUCUGGAAACGACCUCCAAGGGAAUGCCAUAGUUGAAGUGCGCCCUUCACUCGAAGAAAAUAAAACUACUGGUAAUUCUGGAAAUGUCCUCCAGGGGAAUGCCAUUACUGAAAGGAAUCAGAGCCCUGCUUCCAUAGUUGAAAGGAAUCAAAGCCCUGCUGCCAUAAUUGAAAGGAAUCAUAGCCCUGUCGAAACUGAUGGUAACAAGUUUAUCAUUGACCUAAAUGAACCAGCAUCUGUAGAAAGUGAUCUGGCAGAGGAUGGUAGCAUUGCACCGUGUCCUGUUGCUGCCAACAUACAGACAGAAGUAGAUGUCAAAAAGCAAAACUGCUCAAACUCGGCUGAGGUAAUCAGCAAACAAGAUGUACAGUCUGACAAUGGUGCGCCUACAGAGAAGAUUACACUUGAUCUGAACAUUACAGAUCUGAACACAAUGGACGAGGCGAAACUGCAAGCGAUCCUUGGCUCAUCAUUGUUGCAAGCACUUGACAAGCUCAGAAACAGCAAGUCCAGCGACGACUCCAACAAGGCUAAAUCAAGCCUCUCCGAUAAAAAUAAAAACAGCCAGGUGAAAAUGGAGAUGAAAUCCGACAUGAGCACCAAACAUAGGUGCAAUUGAUAGUGUUAGCAAGACUGCCCCUACUCCAGCUGCUGGAUAAGAAGAAUCCUCAACGAUCCGGUUGUGGAGUGGAGUAUACCAACCGUAGGAUGUUACAGUAGUGGUAGUAUCGUCCUUUCUAGUAGUUUAUAUAAGGCAUAUCUGCUUUGUCUUGAGUCAAACCCUUCUAACUUUGACCAAGUUUAUAUAAAAAGUAAUAUCAACAUCUAUCUUCUGUACUAGAUUGAUGUUGAUUGUUUUUUCUAUAUACUUGGUCGAAUUUAAGAGAGUUUGGCUUGAGACAAAGUAGAUAUGUCCUAUAAACUGAAUAGUAGCAGGUAGUGGCAUACGCAUAGGUGAAAGAAAACCUAUAUUUUGCAUGAUAUUUUGUGUUUUGGAGGAAGAAAGAUAGGCAGUCAGUUUGCUGCUCUGUAUGGCUGGCUGUCUGAGGCAGAACAGUUACCUCGUAUUAGUAAUGAAAUAUCCUUUCUGUUACAGUGCUGUGCUG
rnacentral:rRNA from 1 species